CUGGGCCGAGUUGGGCUCCCACGGGCUCCUGGGUUUCGCCGCCUGCGGCGCCCUGCAUGGAGCGCGGCGGCGGCAGAAGCAGCAGCAGCAGCAGCAGCCAGCUGGACCCCGGCUUCUCGCAGCAGGACACACCCCGCCUCAUCGUGGAGGACUCGCAGCCCCAGGGCGCGGGCGCGGAGGCGGACGCGGAGCAGGCCUGGCUCGGUGUGCUGGCCCGCCGGCUGCCGGCCCGGCGGAGCCCGAGCCCCGUGCUGGAGAUCGUGUGCGAUCCCAUCGGCAGCCGGGCGCCCAAGGGCGGCGGGGGGGACCGGGAGCGACCCGCAGAAUCCAUGGAGAGCCCGGCCGGCCUGGCCGCCGCCGGCCCGCGGGGCUGCAUCUCGGAGGAGGCUCCACCGCCCGGCAGGGAGAGCAGUGUCCUUGGAAAGGCCGGGGAACGAGGUGAAGGUGAUGUUGAGGACUGUGCUGCUUCGCCCUAUGCAGAAGAUACAGGCACGUCACAGCUGCAGUUUGGAGCUCUAGAGCUCUCACAGAGCCAGGACUUUGAGAGCAACUUCGUGCCUAAUGAAGGAGAUGGUAGGCAUCAGCUUCACCCUGGAGCUGCAGUUCUUUCUUCCAGACUUGUGGAGAACAGGUCUAAAGAUGCUGUACAGAUGUUAUCAUCAUUGAUUCUUGCACCUCUCUUUCCUGAUUUGUUUCCGGAACAUUUAGACAAUUUGAUAUUGAAUUCCCUCCCUGAACUGCAUAGGGACAGGACAGAAACUGUCUCCAACACAGAAGCACAUACUGCUUUGAAAAGCCAGGCAGAGAAGUCUGAAAGAACUCUUCAGGAAGCAGAAGAGCAUAUUAGGAAGAAAACACCUGUCAGUGACCCCAGUAAAACUGAGAAAUCCCUUAGUUCUGGUCAUGAGGAGUCAGAUAUCUUGUCAACUCAGGAAGAGAUGUUUCCUGAGAAUCAUGCAACAGGGAGUGGCUGUCCAAUAACCAGGGCAGAAGAGGGAAGUUCUCUGGCCUGUACCCCUGCCCGCAGUCUGCACGUCCUGCAGCUCUCUGGACAGGCAGUCCUUGUACAGGAGGGUCAUUCCAUUGUCUCUUCAGGCCUGGUUAUUCCACCUCCUGUUGCCUUUGGACCCAGUGCUCUUGUCCCCAGCAGUCCUACUGAACAAGAACAAGGAAAAGAUGAACAGGUGGAUAUAUCUAUCCCUGCAGAAGGAAGAGAACUGAUGCAAAAGCAGAAAGAUGAUACACUGGUGGAGAUGGCCAUCCCAUGUAUUCCUCCAAGACCCCUUGUCCAGCCACAGGCUUCAACUCCAGUGUCCCUGAGUGCACCAACCUUCUUUCCUGGGUCUGGAUCUGUACCUAUACCAUCACAACCAGAGUUUUCUCAUGACAUCUUUGUUCCAACUCAGAGCCCAGAGAAGAAGCAUGAAGGAGAAGAAAAACCUGCUGCUUUAACCCCUUUGUGCUUAUCAGGAGACCUCUCUGGACCCACAGAUGCUUUGUCAAAGAUAUCUAUAGGCAACUCUGCAUCAAAGCCUUCUGAGUCCUGUAAGCUGAUGCUUUCUGCAAGUGUAUGUAGCCAGCCCUUGAAUACAGACAUCAGUUCAGGUUCUCUGAACACAGGCCAAGACAGUGAAACCACACAGGUAGAGAGGAUUUCUGAAUGCAGGGCCUCAGACUUGAGACUCUGUACUGUGGAGAAUAACCAAAUAAAACUGAAAGUGAAUGCAGGUAAUCAAGCACUCUCUGAAAACUGUGAAAAAACCAAAACGGAGGAUGUAUGGGCUGCAGGAGUGCCUGUAGGGCAGUUUGUUAGUGCAGGAGAUGGGUCAUUAGCCCCUACAGCUCAUCAGGAGAUCGAGUGUGUUUCUGGAAAUCAGGCUGCUGCAGAUCAGUCUGGUCUGCCUGAGAUUUUGUCAGAUACUCAGGGUAGAGAAGUACAGUCUGAGGAUUUUCCAUUGGAAGAGACUUAUGAACCUGAGGCAGUUCCUGAGACGCAAUGUGAAGAACAAGAAGAAAAAGUGCAAAUAAAGGAGAAGCAAGUAAAUGAAGAUGGGUCUCUUGUUAAUAUAACACUUUCUCAGAGGUUUAUUCUUGAAAGGGAAGGACAAUGUCAUGAAGAUAUGGAAGUGGAAUUUGCUGAUGAUUCUUGUAAAAAGAGAAAAAAUUUGUUUGAUCGGGCCCAGGACUUAGAAGAGAUUGAACCAGAAGGUCAGGGAAAAAAAUAUUCGAAAGGUUGUACUUUUGACAGUGGUGAGGCAAAGAACCUGGAUAAACUGUCCUCUAAGGCUGUUGCAGAAAACGUGCCAAAGCUCAAUCAAGUUUUAGCUAAGCCUUCUGUAGGAGAGUUACUGGAGCAACACAACAAUUUGUGUCCUAAGAUAAAGAGUGAUGUUCAAUUGGAAGUGGCGUUAUGUGCCAAAAAACAUCUAGGCUGUUCAGAAUUGGGACAGGUAAUGAUGAUAAGCAAUCAGCCACCACUUCAAGAGAAAGGGGUUGAAACACGGGUGGUUCAGCACGAGAAUCGGGUGCCAAAGAGUAUGGAGGAUACUGUUAUGACAAGGAAUCUGGAGCAAGAAGAGCAGGUGCAGCCACAGAAGAAGGCAACUGCUAAAUCCCCCCGUCCUUCCAGUGGAACCCCAUUUCAUCUUACUUUGCCGAAGGAGGGUGAUAUUAUUCAGCCCUUGACCAGCAGAACACCACCUCUUACUGGCCACCUUAAAAUGGGACCCAGAAGACACAGUACACCAAUUGUGGAUGGUAGUUGUCCAGACAGCACUAUAGCAACCAGUGAUGUUACAGCAGAGAGCACAAUGGGGACCGACAAUGUCACUGUGGAAAGUGCAGUGGUGUCAGCAGAUGUGUCAGAAGUGUGUGAGAAGGGAGAGUUGGAUGCAAAACUUUCUCUGCGAAUGAACCUUGUUACCCCUGUGAACGAUGGGAGUGAGGAGUCCUUGCCAUUCAGUUUGGAAAAGCCUAUAGACAGGAAAGAUGGAUCCUCUGCUGCUGCUAGGACUGCUGCCAGCUCCCAGAAAGCAUCAUCUGUGUUUAGUCGUGUCUGUGAAGUUCGUCGGGAGGAUGAGGCCAGAGGUCAUGGUCUUUCCACUUCUCCGUUUAGGGGAAAUCUGUUCAUGUUUCCUGGCACAGAAGAAGAUGCUGAAUUACAUGCAAAUCCCAGUGAUUGGCAGUACCAGCAACACAAGGCAGAUGGCAGUGGUGGACAGAUCCUGAUUCCUCAGAGGAUGCAGCAGGACUGCUGUCAGCAAUCUUCUGGUGCAGAGGAUGGAGAGUCUAUGGAGACUGAUGUCAUGAGCACUCAGGCAGAAGGGAGAAGAAUGCAGAGGAAACAAAGUAAGGCUGUUAAAACUGAUCUAAGUCAAGAGAGGUGGGAAAACACCAAGAAUAAAGGGAUCCAGACUACAGCAGACUGUCUUUUUACCCCAACAACUGUUACAACUUCAACACAAACAUCAGAAGAAAUGUGUAGACAGGUGGAAAUGGGAACCAGUAUGUCUGGGCAGAGACCUGGGCGAAAAGAUGUGAGUGUCCAAACUGACGAGAGUGGGGAAAAGCUUGUGAACGCCUCUGGAGACGACACGGACUCUUUGCACAGUCAGGGAGAGGAGGAGUUUAACCUUCUUCACCCACCCAAGGGUCAGGUUCAGCGUCGCCACAUGCGAACCAUUCGAGAAGUACGCACCAUUGUUACACGUGUUAUAACAGAUGUUUACUACAUCAAUGGUGCAGAGGUGGAAAGAAAAGUCGUUGAGGAAACUGAGGAGCCUGUAGUGGAGUGUCAGGAAUGUGAGACUGAUGCAUCCUCCUCCUGUAGAACUGCAGUGGGCUCGUCACUGACCUCAGGGGAUCUUGGUGAUGUCAGUUCCUUCUCAUCUAAGGCCUCAAGUCUCCACCGCACAUCUAGUGGAGCAAGCAGCGGUCACUCUGCCACGCACAGCAGCAGCAGCUCAGGACGAGGAACUGGAACUGUCAAAGGAAAAGCGUGUGGGACAGAAACUGGAGGAUUUGCUUUACCUACUGGCAGAGGCAUCUUAGGAAAAUUAAGCCCUAGGAAAGGAGCUGGGCAGCCUGCAUCUCCACUCAGAGUUAGCCAGAUGGGAGCACUGCCGUGUGAGGAAGAGGACUCUAUGACUGGCACUCGUCAGUGUGGCAGGGCACCUGUGACACCUCGUGGACGAGGAAGAAGAGGCCGCCCACCUUCUCGAACAACAGGAACAAGAGAUUUAGCUGGACUGCCAGGUGUGGAGGAUCUCUCAACUAUGGCAUCACCUGAGAAGAAACCAUUUACUCAUUCAGUUCGCGAACCAGGUGGAGGGGAGAAAUCUGACACUUCUGGCUUCUAUGCGUUACGUCGAAGCGACUCUCCAGAAAUCCCAUUACAAGUGAUGACUGGUCCUUUGGACUGUGCGGACUCAUCCUCUGGGAGCAGCUUUGUGGGCCUCAGGGUUGUAGCAAAGUGGUCCUCAAAUGGGUACUUUUAUUCUGGGAUGAUUACCCAAGAUGUUGGGGCUGGAAAGUACAAGCUGCUCUUUGAUGAUGGAUAUGAAUGUGAUGUGCUAGGAAAAGAUAUUUUACUCUGUGAUCCUAUCCCACUGGAGACAGAGGUGACCGCACUGUCUGAGGAUGAGUACUUCAGUGCAGGUGUGGUGAAGGGGCACCGGAAAGAGUCUGGAGAGCUAUACUACUGCAUUGAAAAGGAAGGCCAGAGGAAGUGGUACAAACGAAUGGCUGUUAUCCUGUCUCUGGAACAAGGAAAUAAGCUCCGUGAGCAAUUUGGGCUAGGUCCUUAUGAACCAGUCACCCCUCUGACCAAAGCAGCUGACAUCAGUCUUGAUAAUCUGGUGGAGGGGAAGAGGAAGCGACGUAGUAACCUUGGUUCUCCCAGCACUUCCAGCAGCAGCACAACUCCUACUCGUAAAGGGCAGGAGAGUCCACGCAUCCCACCAGGCACACUGUCUGGGAAAAGGAAACUUGUUGCAUCUGAAGAUGAGCAAUCCCCAGCUAAACGUGGCCGCAAGUCAGCAAUGAUAAAGCCUGGGGCUAUGAGAGCUGGAGAGUUUGUAAGCACCUGUGAAGGUGUAGGUGCUGUAGAUCCCCCAGUACUUGAGGAACAUCAUGGACCUUUGCCCCUCAAUAAGACCCUCUUUUUGGGCUAUGCCUUUCUUCUCACCAUGGCAACACCAAGUGACAAGUUGGUCGGUCACCAGAAGCCAUCAGAUGGUCCCACGGGGAGCAGCGAAGAGGAAGAAGAAUUUCUAGAGAUGACUCCGUACGACAAACAUUACAUAGCACAACAGCUGCAAGCAGGAGCUGGCUAUAUCCUGGAAGACUUCAAUGAAACCCAGUGUAAUGCAGCAUAUCAGUGUCUUUUAAUUGCGGACCAGCAUUGUCGAACUCGGAAAUACUUGCUGUGCCUUGCCAGCGGGAUCCCUUGUGUGUCUCAUAUCUGGGUCCAUGAUAGCUGUCAUGCUAACCAGCUUCAAAAUUAUCGGAAUUACCUUUUGCCAGCUGGAUAUAGCCUUCAGGAGCAAAAAUUGCUAGAAUGGCACCCACGAGAAAACCCAUUUCAUAACCUAAAGGUUCUCCUGGUGUCAGACCAGCAACAGAGCUUCCUGGAUCUGUGGUCUGAAAUUCUCAUGACAGGGGGAGCAGCGUCUGUUAAACAGCAUUACUCAAAUGCUCACAACAAAGUGACUAUAUAAUUAACCUGCCUUAGUGGAGACUGCCACUACCUAAGUAGAGAUACAGACUCAAGAACCUUGGACAGCUAAACUGCUGGGAGACUUGGGGUUCAAAGAGCAUUCCUUUAACACCCUGACGAAAGAAUAACUGCAUGAGAAGUGAUCCUUGUGGUCCAGGAUAAGGUAAGCUGUGAGCCACAAGAAUUCCUAGAUGUUAGUUAUCCAAAAGAAGGGAUAGAGGCACCAACAAAUACCUGCCUCAUUCUGUUCCAAUAUCUGCCCACAUUCCUCCUCUCUGUGCACAUAGAAUUUCCAGCCUAAGUACAGUUGAUUGAUUAAAAUAAUUACAAGUCCUCAUAUAGAACAUCUCAGCUCACACUCUUGUACUACAACUGUUAAAGUCAAGAUAACUUGGCAGAUUAGGCAGAUAUUUGCAUGGAAGAAGAGCAGAUCCACAGAAACACAGAUUCACCUUCACCAAAAUACUGAGUUGUGCAGCUCCCCGUUCAUCUAAGGGGCCGAGAUUCUGACUGACCAGAGAACAAAAACUAUGACAAAGAUCCAGAAUUUCAUUUAAGCAGUGGAAAACCUGCAUGGGAUAAAAAGCACAAGAUAAGUAGUUGAAACAGAGUUCAAACACAAGGAAAGCACUUUUUGGUACCCAAAAAGUUGCAGCAUUCAUAAUCAAGAUGUUGUGAUACUGUAUUUUUUAACCAGUAAGGAAGAUGUUAAAGUACCUGUAGCAUUUUUGUAAGGUUUUCUAUUGAGAAAGGGUUUAAAUGUUAUGCUGCAUCUCCCCCUCCUGCCCUUCCCCCCUCCCUCCAACCUUUUGCAGACAUUACUGGGGAAACAGGAUUGGCAUGAGCUGUCCACUAGGCAGAGCAGUUGAACACUGGCUUUCCUGUCCAACCGGCAGGUCAUUCACUGCAGCUUCGGGAUGAAGAAGGAAGAAUAAAGACCAGCAAGAGCUAUGGUUCAAGGCUUUGAUUUCACUGUUCACUGAACUUGGAAUUUUUUUGUAUCAGUUGGUCAAGGUAACUUGCAUUCAAGAGUGUUAAGAAAGCCCAAAUGCUUCACAGAUGUAACUACUGGAACACAUCAAAAUUCCAGACUGGAUAAUUGGUAUUCUGCCACCUUUAUGCUACAAUAGUCUCAUUGAGCAAAAAGACACUGUUUCACUGAAACUAACUUUCUUUGGGAAUGCUUUUGUGAAGUUAAAGUGUUUAUAAAUAUACUCCAACAUUAUAACACAUUUUUUAUUAAAAGACAAAAAGACCCUUAAAAGUCCACUCCGGAACAUCUCAGCUAUUUUUAUUCUCUUAAGUAGAAGUAGGAGAGACAAUUUUUCCUAGUCUAAUGCAUUUCAGCAUGAUGCCCUCAAGAAUACAGUUCCCAGCAUUAUGCUCAUUAGUACUUCUUUAAUAAAAUGGCCUGUGAUAAAAAUAUAGUGAUAAAGUUAGUAAGGUUAACUGAACACUGAAAGCAUCUUGAUUUAAAAUUCACAUUGCACAAAAUGCAGCAUUCACACUCACCAACUGUAAAUUAAGUGAUCUUAAUUUGAUUAUCUGUUCCAGUUUAAACCUGCCUUAUUCCUAGAAUUGUAGUCUGUGCUUUCCAGAUUAUCACUGAUCUGUUUUAAAAGAUAUGUUUUGUCAUAUCUGUUCAAAGAGGUGUGUAUCUUAGGGCAGUUGGAGAAUUUGUAGAAAAAGGUGAAAACUAGACCUACUUACAGGUUUUAGGAGGAUGAAAGACUGAGCCAACAAGUUACUUAAGAAAUGAUCGUGAGCCAACCGUAUACUCUCAAAAUCUCGUGUGGCAUUUAUCUGCUGCAGAAGCUGUGAGAACUGAGACUCCAGUACAUCUACCUGAUGGAUAUGUAAAGAUAUCUCAUUAGUAUCUUGAGGAAUGGGAGUACUUCAGACCAUCCAGAAGUUUUGUGUAAGAAACUUGCUUAUUGCUACUCUUAUGUUAGAGACUGAGGAUCCCCUUCUCUCUACCCGAGAAUAAGAAAUUAUAGACAACAGCAGUAUGUAACGGGGGGGAAAGGAAUUUUUGAUGCCUAAGUAAUAUCUAUGUAGAAAGGGAAACAGUCACUUUCUUUAGGAUUAACUAUUAAAAAAGUAUAUAACCAGCAUGUAAACAAAAGUAUUUGAUUGUAGUAAUCUCUGAAUUUUAUAUGGGGAGAUGCUAUCUGGAAUCUUAGGGCAAAGGCUGCAGUGCAAAAGCUCAGCCAGAGAUGAGAUACUCUGGAGAAUCUAGAAAGCCAGGCCCCAUCAAUUCGCUGUUACAACUAUUAACAAAGCGAUAGGUAAUUCUCACAAAGACAUGCUAUUAGUAACUGCUGUUUACAUUUGAAAAGUCUCUUUUUUGGCUUCAAAUGGUCAGAAUAUGUCCCUCUUUCAAUUCUUUAAAAAACCAACCAACCAAAAAACCCCAAAACUUAACUCACUGUGGAGUUCAUGUAAGAGGCAAAGGAAGAAACCAGGAUGGCAUCUUAAUGAUGAUCCUUCAAGGAUGUCUGUGGUUUCUCACAAAUGUUUAGUAGCACUAGAGAGCCACUAGAGAACUCCUGCAUUUCUACUAACACUAACUGAAUCUCAAGUCCAAAAACUUUUUAAUUGUAACACUAAGCCUGGGAACUUGAAGGAAGUGUAGCCUUGUAAAGGAAAUCCUGAUUUCCUUACAGUAGAAAGAAUCUGAAACCUGAGGUCUUCAGUGCUCCCUCCAUGCAUUUUUGCUAGUUCCUGACUAACUGAUAGUUUGUCUUUCUCUGUAAAUACUGACCUGCAGAUAAUACUGAAGAUUGUCCACAAGGAAAGCCAUGUGAUCCCUCAGACGCCACUUGAUGGCAUCUGUUCUGUUCGAUUUCAAGUGUUUGCGUUGCAUCUGGAGAGCCCAGCAGUGCUGUAGCUCAGCCUGGACUCGUCGCACACUCAGCAGGUAUUUGAACACAACAUUGUACCUAUGGUGAAAAAAAUACAAAGUUGUUUAAGACUAAAAUCUUCCUUGGCUGCAGGUACUAGAGAACAUAACAAUGCAAGACUGGAAAAAGAAACAGGAGGUGGCUGCCUGUCAAUAGAUAGGGCAGAUCAGGUGAUGGCUCAUCUCAGAGUAAGAUUUCUGCUUGUACUGGUUACUGACCUAAAAAAUACAGAGUUAAUUUUGGUGUAAGGAGGGGAGCUGCCAGUUAAAGUAGCACUGUUUGUAAAUUAAUGCAAGUCUGUCAGCAUCUUGUAGGUCUUAGUAUCAUUACACAGAUUCUCAAUAUGAGUAAGUGAAAAGAGCCAUUUUAAGGUUCAGAGAGCAAGAUGAAGUAUUAUAGCUCUACCUUUCUCUCCAUAGUGAGAAAAAAAACCCAUUAGUGAGUGCCUGAGCUCAGGGAACAUAUAGAUGAAUAUACAAAGACCAUACCUAGUACUUACUUCUCAAGAACAGCAGGAGUAAAGAGAAUGUGCAGUGGCCACUGAACUUUGUAAGAAAGGCCCAGAGCUGCCCAUCCAGAUGUGGGGGCUUCACGUGGAGAUAACUCCCGGGAAGGCCCUUCGCGAGUCUGAGAAGUAUCUGAAAACAAAUGAGGUGCUAAAUUACGUUAUGUUCUUUUUCACUGCAACCAUGGCAAGGCAGAAAAGGGGAAAGGGAGAGAAAAGAAUUAAGAGCCAAAGCAGUCUGGGCCAUUACAUUGGGCUGUAAAGGGAACAAAAGUAGUAUUUCUUUAACUUCAGAGAAGAGCAACAAGAUUUGAAAACAAGGUCAUCAUCUCCCAUCUUAACUCACCAUUAAAAAUGCAAGUAUAUAUACCUUUAUGCUCCUUUCCGUGAUACUCAAUGGUUAAGUGAAGAAGAGGAAGAAGGUUGUCAUCAUCUAAGAGCACCUUAUGAGCAGACUGCUGAAAUGCAACGUUGACAUCUGACAACAAGAGAACACACAUACCAACUCAAGAUGAUGCAGCUAGUGCUAAUUUUGCACCCAUUAGUUAUUUAUGCCUGGCCACAAAAGACAACACUGAUGCACUAUUGCCACUGGUUUAAUUCCAGCUUCAAAUAUGGGGAGAAACCUGGCAUCUGAAAGUUUCUGAGAGGUUGUUUUCACUCUGUGAGACAUUCUAGUUUACAAAUGCUGUUGUCUCAAAACUAAUGAUAUCAUCUAGAAGGUAAGAUGAUAGCACUCUCCUGUACCUGGACAUGGCUCACCAUUUUCCUCCUACACCACAGUGAGGACACUUUGAUAAGUGAAUAAGCAACACUCACCAUGUUCAGUUACAGCCGUAGGUGGCGUCUUUAACAUGUGCUGUGCAGUGUCAAUGAAAGCCUGAAACAGCUCACCUCUUCCCAAAAGAUAAAAGUCUUUUAUAAUCUGUGAAGAUAAACGUUUUGUAUCUAAACAUACCAAAAUGAGCAGAAAUUUUAAGCAUCCUAGCUGAUAGCAUCUGUUUUUAUUAUUCCUUGGACAACUUCUGCCAUUUAAAACACAGCUGGAGAGCUCUGAAUUUCAUUCACUGCCCAAAGAGUCUACACCACCUUUGCUUCAAGAUGCAAACCACAAAACCAUGUACAGAUACCCCUCUAACUCUUAUCACUCCGUGCUCGUUCUUGAGACCUGGAAAAUGAAAACAACUUUAUCUAAAAGAAGAAAGCCCAGAGUAGAAGGCAGUAAGUAUUUAAUGGGAAACAGCAAUUUAAAAAAGAAAGAAAGAGAUAAGCUGCUUCAGCAAAAACAAACUAGCAGUUCCAUUACCUUCAGUUGUCCUAGUAGAUCCGAUUCCUCCACCAUCAGUUUCCAAAGAUGCUAGUGAGGAAACAAAAGCCAGACAAAACAAGAGACCUCCCCUCAGAAUUGUCUUACCCGUUCAGAGAGAAUAGUAGCUGUCUUGAGACACUUGCAAUGAACACAAAAAAAGCACCUAUAGCCAAUGCUAUAUAAAGCACAAGAGAACACAGCGUCCUGUGUUCAUGCAGCCCAUGCAACUAGUUAGAACUCUUGAUAUAUACCAGCAAAAAAUUCUGCCUAAGGCACAUGAAGACCCUUGACAAAAAAAAAAAAAAAAAAAAAAGGGCAAAUUCCUAUGAAAUCAGUUCCACCUCAGCUUUGUUCUCACUUUUCUAACCUCCCCAAUCUUCUCCGGUUCUCCUCCCCACCGCAACUGAAAAAAAAGGAUUAAAAAUUGCUAAAGCAAAGAAUAUGUUCAGUGGGCUGAUAUCUAUUAGACUAAAAGCACAAUGAAAAGUUCUGGAGUCGUUUCAGGUGAAAUGAAAAAAUAUACAAAAGCCUCCCUUCUUUCGCCCUUGCAAGUGCAUAGUAUUUGUUAAUGUCCUUUUGUCAUUAGAAGCUGGGGUUACAUGAAGCUCUGAGACCCAUAAGAACAUGAACGCUACCUACAUGCUCACAUGCUUGUUCAAUCACUGAUUCUGAAAAGCCCCCUUCUUCCAGUCACUCACAAAAUUUAAAUGCUCCUCAGCCUGCAUAGCAGUUACCCUUCCUAGGAGGCUUACCUCAGCAACAGUGCUCCGUAUCCAGUCAACCACUGAUUCAAAGUCCACCAAACUAAAGAGCGGUUGCUGCUUGAGUCGAUGUAGCUCUGCUGCAAAAGUGUCCUCCUGGUUUUUUAGGAUAGAGCCUGGGCAGCAAUGAGAAGUGUUUUGGAGAGUAAAAAGGAAUGCCGUUUGGAGACAUGCAGACCCCUUCCAGCACAGUGGGGCAGAAAGGCUGUCCAGGCAGCACUGUCUCAGGUCCGGCACGGAACGUGAAGAGAAGGUCUCAAAGUACAAGUACCACGGUACAAGAUUACUAAUACAGGUACAGUUACAGUAUAGAUACUUGCCAUGGCAGUGCCGUGGUAUCAGUAAAAAUGCCAAAUGUUUUCUACAUAAUUGGUUGUUGCUGACAACCCUUUUUCUAUAGGACUGAGCUAGAUCUUUGAACCCAAAAAAAAGUUGGUUUGGUUCUCCCCCUAUCCCUGCUCUUUUCAAAUCUAUCCUAUUGUUUGAACUUGGGGACUUUUUUUUCAACCAGCUGAGCUAGAAGACCAACUUUUUUUUACCUUGCUGCUGCUAAGGUAAGAAAACAGUCCAGCUGAAUUGGUGCUUCUUUCUUUGUAAUGUCACUCAAGUAAUUUAAGUAUUUUGCUUAGACAAACUCAAGAUAGAGCCACCACAGCAGUCCUCCCCAGCGUAAGAACGUAUUUCCCAAACCAGCUCCAGCGUAAACUUAGCAGGCUCUCAAAGAGAGCCAUCAGCUGAAUUACCUCUCCCUUGCUGUCUUCAAGGCUCCAUCUUGAUAAUUUGCCUUCCACAGCAACUUUUGGCCCCACCUUGCAAAUGAAUUUCUCGUGUUGGUGGAUGCAUGUUAAUACUGUGACACCAUUCUGCAACAUAUACACUCAGAGCAAGAUGUGUCAUUGUGUCUAUCUGCAGAAUUUAGGGACAGGGAUGCAAACAGAAAGGAAAACAAGACCUUUGCAAUCGCUUUAUUUAUCCAGAGCAAAUCACAUGGUGACUUGUUGCUGGAAAUUUGGAGACUAUGUUUGGAAAGUGUUAUUUACUCAUCCUGUUCUUAUAUUGCUCCCUUGGAAUCAAUCAGAAGCAGAACACUGGGACCACUGCCCUGUUCUGGCACGACCAUCCAUAUAGUCUGAAGAAUAUCAACCAAUAGUCAGUGAUUGUUGAGGAAUUUGUUAAUAUUGGGAAGCAUUUUGGAAACUACUUAUCAGUCAGUCAUAACUAAGCAGAGAUUGCAAGAAAGAGGUUCAUUACCUUUUCUGGUCAGGUUGACAUUCUGAUUCUCAAACAUCUGUACAGAUUCUCCCACGAAGAGGAUUUUCUCAGCAACCCGCACAGGAAUGUAUGAAGGCAGCAUUUCUACUCGCAGAGAAAACUGUUUUAGAGAUGGAGCUAACAUGUUCUCCUCCUCAAUCAAGCGCUGUCACCAGGGAAAAGAAAUCAAGUGCAAACCAGUGUGACAAUCAGAGAAAACAGAUUCAGAAAAGAAGAAAUUCCAUCCAACAGCAUCUUAUCCUAUAAAAUGCACUGUGAUUAUAAAAUGCUAGUCAUCAAAGAUCAUACUGAUAAUGGAAAAAAGUCAAAUCCAGUGUAAACAGAUUUGCAAAAUAGUUAUUCAGUACUUACAGUAGUACUAGUAAUAGGGCAUCUAUUACUCAAACCACAUUCUUUGCUAGUAUUAAAAGUCUGGGAUGGGUGCAGAAAUAAUGUUAUCUGUUAAAGAGGAAACUAGUUUGUUAAGAGAAACUAGCUGUAAUUCUACUGUACCUUCUGAGUUUUGAUCUGUUCCACCAUGACCAUCACAGAGGGGAAGAGUAACUGAAACUGCAGAACAAGGAGCAAAAUACUGAAUUAGGUUGUUAUGCAAGGAAGAGAGAAAACACUAUAGUUGAGUAAGUCUGGACAGCAGCUGAACACGACAAUUUAAUGAAACUGUUAUAUGUCUUUCCCCACAAAUGAGAAACAUGACAUGAAAAUCUCUCGGAAGGAUGUCCUCCCUUCACUGGAGCAAGAUGCACAAAGUUACAUUCCAGAAGUAGUUCAGGCUAAACACAGGCAGAAAGGAAUGUGUGAGAGUCAAGGUGGAGGACCUAAGCUUUGUGUUGAAGUGCAGGUGAUCCUCUGAACAUGAUUAAGGGACUACAGAUGUAGAGGUGUUAGACAGAAAUGGCAUGAUGUGACAGACUAAACCUUCUUUAUCCCACACGCUUUCUUAUUAGACUCAAUGAGUGAUAAGAGUAACCAAAGAACACUACCUGUUUAUUAACAUGACAUACCUGGUCCAAGGAAUAAUUAACAUGCGAGAUGGAAAGAUGUGGGUCAGUCAGAAACUGUAAAGAUAAAGCAAUUAAUGAAAAGUAAUUAUGACAACCACUGGAUGGUCAUAGUACCCAAGAUAUGACAGCUAUUAAUCUAGCAGAGAUUAAGCAAAACCUUUAAAAUUGAAAACAGGAGACAACAGUCUGAGACAGCACUGGGCUCUGACACAGAUGGAGCACUUACUGAACUGAAGGAAGAGGGGACUUCAUACUUAUUAGGAUGAAGAGUAAUUUACAAUAGUAUCUCACAGGAAUAAUUUGGAAGGCAUCCCUCAUGAGGAAAGGAAAAUACCUUGUCUCAUUUUAGGUACUACUACUUAGCAUAUGCAUUGCAGAAAUGACAACUUUCCACCAUCUGUCAGCAGCAGGACCGCCUCUUGUUCCACGUCUCCCUCCUUUACCUCUUGUUCUAGGUCAAGUAGUGCCUGUCGAUAUGGCUGCAGCACUGAAUCAAGACCUGUGCAGAAGGCUCGCAAAUAUAUGCCAUGUAAUCCGCUCUGGUUUUGCUGAGAUGGGUGAUGGUCCUGAAAUCAAACAAUAAAAACUGCAUCAGCACCCUA